AUUGAACGCUGGCGGCAGGCUUAACACAUGCAAGUCGAACGGAACCUUCGGGUUUAGUGGCGAACGGGUGAGUAACACCUAGGAAUCUGCCUAUUAGUGGGGGAUAACGGCUCGAAAGGGUCGCUAAUACCGCAUACGUCCUACGGGAGAAAGAGGGGGAUCUUCGGACCUCUUGCUAAUAGAUGAGCCUAGGCCGGAUUAGCUAGUUGGUAGGGUAAAGGCCUACCAAGGCGACGAUCCGUAGCUGGUCUGAGAGGAUGAUCAGCCACACUGGAACUGAGACACGGUCCAGACUCCUACGGGAGGCAGCAGUGGGGAAUUUUGGACAAUGGGCGCAAGCCUGAUCCAGCCAUGCCGCGUGCGGGAAGAAGGCCUC
rnacentral:rRNA from 1 species